GACGAACGCUGGCGGCGCGCUUAACACAUGCAAGUCGAACGGAAAGGCCUGCUUUCCCUUGUGGAUUGCGGGUACUCGAGUGGCGAACGGGUGAGUAACACGUGAGUGAUCUGCCCCCAACUUGGGUAUAAGCCUGGGAAACUGGGUCUAAUUCCCGAUAGGACUGCAGGGUGGUGCCUGUGGUGGAAAACGAUUUUCUAGUGGUUGGGGAUGAGCUCGCGGCCUAUCAGCUUGUUGGUGGGGGAAUGGCCUACCAAGGCGGCGACGGGUAGCCGGCCUGAGAGCGUGGACGGCCACAUUGGGACUGAGAUACGGCCCAGACUCCUACGGGAGGCAGCAGUGGGGAAUAUUGCACAAUGGGCGGAAGCCUGAUGCAGCGACGCCGCGUGGGGGAUGACGGCCUUCGGGUUGUAAACUCCUUUCGACCGCGAGGAAGCCACCUGGUUGGAAGGGUGGUGACGGUAGUGGUAGAAGAAGCACCGGCUAACUACGUG
rnacentral:rRNA from 1 species